UUAGACCUCAGAUCAGGCAGGAUUACCCGCUGAACUUAAGCAUAUCAAUAAGCGGAGGAAAAGAAACUAACAAGGAUUCCCCUAGUAACGGCGAGUGAAGCGGGAAGAGCUCAAAUUUGUAAUCUGGCACUUUCAGUGUCCGAGUUGUAAUCUCGAGAAGUGUUUUCCGCGCCGGACCGCAUACAAGUCUGUUGGAAUACAGCGUCAUAGUGGUGAGAACCCCGUAACUGAUGCGGAUGCCCGGUGCUUUGUGAUACACUUUCGAAGAGUCGAGUUGUUUGGGAAUGCAGCUCAAAUUGGGUGGUAAAUUCCAUCUAAAGCUAAAUAUUGGCGAGAGACCGAUAGCGAACAAGUACCGUGAGGGAAAGAUGAAAAGCACUUUGGAAAGAGAGUUAACAGUACGUGAAAUUGUUGGAAGGGAAACGAUUGAAGUCAGACUUGUUAUCUGGAGUUCAGCCUUUCGGUGUACUCUCCAGUUUACAGGCCAGCAUCAGUUUUCGGGGCGGGAAAAUCGUAAUUAGAAGGUAGCAGCCUAGCUGUGUUAUAGCUUUUUACUGGAUUCCGCUUUGGGGACUGAGGAACGCAGUGUGCUUUUAGCAAUACCCU
rnacentral:rRNA from 1 species